rnacentral:lncRNA from 1 species
GAAGACUUUGCCAGUAAAUGUUGUAUCAAAUUCCAGGUUUGCCUCUUCUGCCAUGCCCACUCCCUUGUGGCUACAGUGGCCCUGUAAUUGGACCUGACUUGGACCUGACUUCAGGAGCUCCUGAAAUAUCACUGGCAGGUGCCACAAGAGGGAGGAACAUAAUAAUUGGAAGAGUGCAAGAUUUCAGCUAAUUUCAACUUUACCACCAUCUGCCACUGAAUCUCCAGAGGACACCAAGACUCUGAGAUAUCAAGGAAGAGAAGACAUGAAGAAUUACUUCUAAGUUGUCUAUACAGCCACUAUUAUCCCUGCAACAUAACAGCCCAGUGCUGCAUGUUUUGAAAGUAACAUGUAUUUCUCCUGGCUCCUCUGGGAGGCAGAGAAAGACUUGGGAUAUAAACAUGAACAUGGCAUAAUAGAAAGAGUUUAUAGGCAAUCUAUAAAGCCAAAUUGAGUGGUAUGUUAAUAGUGAAAAAGUUGAUAAUGGAUUCCAAAGGAGUGGAGAUGUGGGGAUAGUCUUGAAAGUGGACCAAUAUUAAUUGCUGCAAAGGUUAUUUAUGUGUUUACACAACAUGAGGGGAGCUCCUGCCAGCAAUAUCCCUAGUGGAAACCAGAAUGUGCAAGUAAGACAGCUUUUAGGGAAAAGUAUGAGCUGAGCAUCUCUUCUAUCUAAAUCUUCAUUUGAGGAACUGAGAACUGAGCACACAUCAGGGUACCAGGACUGAGUACCUGCUGAGCAGUGUCAUGGGAAAUAACUAAUGAAGUCUUGGCCAUAAUGAAGUCAGUGGAGUUUAGAAAUAUUUCAGUAAAGCCAGAAGCUUGAUCUUUACCUCAUUGAUUAAAUAUGCCAUGUUUCACUACCAGAGCAUUACACAGAUCUUAUCAUUAUAAUCCUACAGGAAGUGCUGGUAAAGAGAGAAGUUUUAUUGUUUAUUUAUUUAGUUAGUC